rnacentral:lncRNA from 1 species
CAUGCAUAUGAAUUUCAUUAAUUUUAAAUACCAAUACUGGUUUUGAAAAGACUGGUUCAUAUAAUAUGCUUAAUUAUGUUGUGGUUUUUCUGUACCAAGGAAUGAUCCUGGUGAGUGGUUAAAAUAUUUGUUGGCACAUGUGGCUGUGUUAGUGAGAGGUCAAUAUGCAGCCUUUUCCACUAAUUAGCUUGAUUUUGGUAAGUUCAGAUUCUGAGAAGGAAAAGAAAGCCUCAGGGGCAGAGUAUUCAGGAGGACACCAAUCCAAACCCAUGUCUGAGGCAGCUUGAAAGAAGGUUUGCUGCAGGGAAGAGAUGGAAAGAGCGAAAUAGAGAUGGCAGGGGCGUGAUCUGUUGUAGGUAUCAAGUGAAGUAAUCCUUCCUUCCCUGCUGUUUGUUUUCGCAAGUCUGUUUUGCACAACUCUGUUUGCAGUGCAUGCAGUAACUUACCGAUUGCGUUUUGAGGGUUUUAGGUGUCAAAUAUGACCGAACCAUUAAAAUAAAAGUUGUAUAUCUUUUCAAGACCUUUCCAACGAAUGUUUAUUUCCAAUUUUUCUUCAGGUAUUCUAGGAGAUAUGCCUAUCUGAAAUUACUAUUAGUUUUCGUCAGACUGUAGUUUCAGUCAUGACUUCCUAUUUUGCGGGCGGUUUAAAGUAACUUCAAGGCUGAAUCUGUCCAUGGGGCUAUGGAUGUAUUUUCAGUAUUUGGUUUGAGAUUUCCAUGGAUAAUUUAUUCUCAAUUUUUCGCUGAGUAUAGUGAAAGAUACACCCUUCUGAAUGUGAGAUCUUCCUGAAACUAUAUAGUUUUGGUUGUGAGUUUCAAAUUGGUUUACCAUUUUAACGGUACUUAGAGGCCGAUUGUAUUGUCUUGAAUGAAACUGUUGCAUAUUGCUUUAGAGGUUUUCUGAUACGGUCAUAGCUGCCGCAACUAACGAAUCAUUAACUCCCUCAUCGUGUAACUUCCCUGCUGCAGGUGAUUGGAUCAGCGAACCUUCUCUGUAGUUUAAGAUUUGAUCAGUUGGAGGAACGUGGUAAGUCCCUGGCAAAAUUCUUUCGCCUUGUUAAUUCCGCGUUUUUUAGCAGUGCAGCUGGUCCAUGUUGUACCAUCAGAGUCAUCGAUCUUUGACAGAAUGUAUUGCAUGAGCAGUAUAGUAUUCUCUCAUAUUAUGUGAACCCUCAGAUACCUUUCCAUGAGACUGAAACCAACUGUUUCCCAAAUUCUUAUGUGUUUGUGUAUAUGAUGGUACAUAAGUGAGUUUCACCAUUAUUGGUCUAUUUCUUGAUGUUUUUUCCAAGGAUAUUCGAUUGUUGAGUUAAUUGUCAGUGAUGCCAUCACACUGAGUUGCCGUUAAACUGUAAAAGUUACGUUUUUUUUUGUUUACCAAUGCAAUUAUUUUAAU